GGGUUGGCCAGGUCCAUGCCAGCGAUGUCAGGGGCGGUGCCGUGGACCUGCAGGUGAACAAACAGGCUGAAGACACCUGCAGACAAGAACCUCGUGACUGGACCAGUCUGAUCUCAGGCUCCGGACCGGACCGGACCGGACCGGACCGGCUUACCGGCCGGGUCAGCACCAACACAGAGCCGGGACAAAGAGGACCGGAAACAGCUGUUAGCUGUUAGCCGCGUUAGCCUCAGCAUGGUGAAGGGCACGUGCUAACCGGCUAACGUGACUUUAAAGUCUCUGACGAACAACUGGACCGGAACCACGCCACGUGACGUCACACAAGAACUCAAGCCCAGUCUGGUUCUGACGUCUAUGACGUCAUUCAUGAUCCGGAUCGAUCCAUUUAUCAGAUUUUCUUACCAUUGACCUCCACGCGCUGCCUGCUGCCAUCCUGACAGGAAGAGACGAAGAUCCUCUGAGAGGAGCAGGAGGAGGUCUCACUCUGAUCAGAGAUCCUCUGAGAGGAGGAGGAGGAGGAGGUCUCACUCUGAUCAGAGGUCCUCUGAGAGGAGGAGGAGGAGCAGGAGGAGGUCUCACUCUGAUCAGAGGUCCACUGAGAGGAGGAGCAGGAGGAGGUCUCACUCUGAUCAGAGAUCCUCUGAGAGGAGGAGCAGGAGGAGGUCUUAAGGAUAUAAAAAGUUGGAUGACCUACAAUUUUCUGAUGUUAAAUUCAGACAAACUGAAGUUCUUGUAAU